AAGUCAACAAGGUUUCCGUAGGUGAACCUGCGGAAGGAUCAUUAACACGUACCCACGUGAAAAACCCUGGAUGGAGCGGUAGAGCAAAUAGACUUGGUUUCCGAAAGGAUAACUGAUACUUUCAGGUCGUUGACCUCACGGUCAACGGACAGGUCUCUGGGGCUUCGGCUCCCCAUAUUAAACAACUACAGGCCCACAAAACGAACAACUGUUAACAAUGGAUAUCUUGGUUCUC
rnacentral:misc_RNA from 1 species